CCGGGAGAGGCGAAAAAUGUUUCUAUUGUGUUUAAAUUAAGAAAAAAUCUUUGAAAAACCUAGUGGAAGCGACUGAAUCCAAAACGACUCAGCUUACUUUAAAUAAAUAAUCAAAAGCAGCCCACUCACCGGCGCAGCUCCAUUCCUUCCAUAUCUUGAAGAGUAGAGGUAAAAAAUCAAGAUAUAAAAAUCAAUAAAAUAAUAAAUUAAUGAGUAUAAUAAUCUUGCAGUCAUUAUCCCAUACAGCAAAAUGUUAACAGAUAUCUUUUUUAAGAUAUCUUAUAUAAGAUAUCAAAAAGAUAUCUAAAAUAAGAUAUUAAAAAGAUAUCUAAAAUUAGAUGUCAAAAAGAUAUCUAAAAUUAGAUGUACAUUUUUACAUCUACUAUUAUAUUAGUAUUUAAAACAAGCCAUUUUAUGUAAGAAACAUCUUAAACAAGACAUCUUUUAGAUCUCUUGACAUGGACAUCUUAAUUUAUUUAUCUAAUAAAUAUCUUUCUUCACAAGGUCUGUAGAUGAACGACGGGAGGGGAAGGAAGGUCAUCGCAUGAGCGCCAUUUUGGAGUCAUAAGGUGUAUGUGUAGUGUUUGUUGUACGAGAAGAGUGAGUGAGUAGUAAUAAGGGAAAGGUGAAAUUGAUACAUCGUAUUGGCCCCGGCCAUUUUGUGGCCAAAAUGUAAAACAAUGGAUGGGAAGACCUUCCUUCGCCUCCCGUCGUUCAUCUACAGACCUUGUUUCUUCAUUACUAAAAAAGUCAUCUUAAAAAAAAUAGGCAUGCCCAUAGGCAUGUAUAUCCAAUUUAUCUCUUAUGUUGUUUUGAUUUUGUUUUAAAUUUAAUAAGAUUCAGUUAUAGUUCAAUUUAUAUAAACAUAUAAUUAUUAAUUUUCAGGAAAAUAUGGAUAAAGACAAUAUUAGAACUUUAUUAUUAUUGUAUCAACAACAUCCAUGUUUAUAUGUUGUAAAAUCUGUUGAUUAUCACAAUCAAAACAAGAAAAAGCGUUACAAACAAUAUGUGAUCAGUAUGCAGAGAUCACAAAACAGCCAUUAACGAUGGAAAUUGCAAAAAAGAAAAUAAAUAAUCUAAGAUCGCAAUAUUUAGAAUAUCUGAAUAAAAUUAAAGUCAAAAGCAAGUGGAGCAUCAACAGAUGAAAUUUAUAAACCCAUCUGAUGGUUGUAUGAGGAUAUGAAAUUUCUGGAUCCUUAUAUUUCACAGAGGAAAGGAGAAUCUUCUAUAAAAAAAAAGGGUAAGUACAAAUAAAAUACUUAAGAGUUAUUAAGAUAUUACGAUUAGAUAAAAAAUAAUUAAGAAUAAUGAUAAUUUAUAGUUUUCCAAGAAGCAGAAUCUUUAAUGGCAUUAAUAAAUGAAAAUGAUGAUGAAAAUAAAAAACAAUGAAAAUGUGUAACUUUUGGACGUUUAUAAUCUCUUAGAAAAUAAAGACAAUAUAAUAAAGGUAAAAAAAUAAUAGAAAUUUUUGUUAUGUUUUAUAUAAACUUAAAUUUAUUUAUAGUUAUUAUUUUUAUAUAGAAAAUAUCCAUCAAAAUGAAUUUCAUCAGAGUGAGUCGUCAUCUUCAGUAAGCACUUGUUCAGUUAACACUUCAACACGCAGCACAUCGUUACCUAAAA